GCUGUGAUGGCUGAGGGGUUAAGGCGUUGGACUUGAAAUCCAAUGGGGUCUCCCCACGCAGGUUCAAUCCCUGUUUGCACGUUGCU